ensembl:lncRNA LINC00254 long intergenic non-protein coding RNA 254
GCCACUGACUAAUAGAAAAAGAGACUGCAUACAACGUUUCAUUCAUGUUUUGCUAGGCUAGAUACAUUUGUUGUAGCGGUCUCAUAUUUGUAAGUCCGUGGAAAAACCUGAAAGUAUUUUUUUCUUGAAAAUUUUUUUGAAAAAAAAGUAAAAUGUCAUUAGGAGUGAGAAUCAGGAAUGAUGGAUUCACGGUCUAGUUGCAAGACUCAUCACAGGCCAUUAACCUCUGAAAAGCCUUUAUCUGCUUCGGAAAAUAUGAACUGAAAGAGGGGAAUGAAUGGUAAAGCCAGUUCAGCAGCUUUGUUACAUAUCAGACGCGGAUAUUACUUACGAGUAUUGAAUGAUCCCCUCAGUAAACACCAGCUAUGCAGGAGGUGCUACCUUAGCAAUAGGAGCUUCAGUCUGGGAGGAGAGUGGGACAUAUAAGCAAAUAAAUACAUCACGUUUCCC